UUUCUACUCCCUCCGUCCGAAAAUACUUGUCAUCAAAAUGGAUAAAAAGAGAUGUAUCUAAAACUAAAAUACGUCUAGAUACAUUUCCUUUUACCCAUUUUGAUGACAAGUAUUUCCAGACGGAGGGAGUAUUUG
rnacentral:pre_miRNA from 1 species